CCUACGGGAGGCAGCAGUGGGGAAUAUUGCACAAUGGGGGAAACCCUGAUGCAGCGACGCCGCGUGAGUGAAGAAGUAUUUCGGUACGUAAAGCUCUAUCAGCAGGGAAGAAAAUGACGGUACCUGACUAAGAAGCCCCGGCUAACUACGUGCCAGCAGCCGCGGUAAUACGUAGGGGGCACGCGUUAUCCGGAUUUACUGGGUGUAAAGGGAGCGUAGACGGCAGCGCAAGUCUGGAGUGAAAUCCCAUGGCUUAACCAUGGAACUGCUUUGGAAACUGGGCAGCUAGAGUGCAGGAGAGGUAAGCGGAAUUCGUAGUGUAGCGGUGAAAUGCGUAGAUAUUAGGAGGAACACCAGUGGCGAAGGCGGCUUACUGGACUGUAACUGACGUGGAGGCUCGAAAGCGUGGGGAGCAAACAGGAUUAGAUACCCUAGUAGUC
rnacentral:rRNA from 1 species